CCAAAGGCUCUUUUCAGAGCCACAGAUUUUCACCACCGGAGCUGU
rfam:Felis catus isolate Cinnamon breed Abyssinian chromosome B2, whole genome shotgun sequence.